CAUUUAGGGAUAAUGGGUUAGGUGUGGCCAGAAUUAGAACUGCGUAUAGGCCUGGGUGCGGUGGGGUGUGUCUCACGAUAAUGGCAAUGACAGGGAGCAAACUCAAACCCAAGGCUAACCUUG